rnacentral:rRNA from 1 species
AGUGCAUAUAGUGAAUGCCUUGGCUGAGACUGUCGAUGAAGGACGUGGUAAGCUGCGAUAAGCGUCGGUGAGGUGCAAACAACCUUUGACCCGGCGAUUUCCGAAUGGGGUAACCCCGUAACAAGUAAUUGUUACGAUCCGAAAGGAAGGCAACCUAGGGAAGUGAAACAUCUCAGUACCUAGAGGAAAAGACAUCAACCGAGAUAUCGAAAGUAGUGGCGAGCGAAAUCGAUAUAGCCUAAACCAGUGUGCUUGCACACUGGGGUCAUAGGACUACAUUAGUAGAGUUAUCAAUCAAAAAAUUAGCUGAACGGUCUGGAAAGACCGACCAUAGAAGGUGAUAGUCCUGUAUGCGAAAAUUUUUUGACUCGAAGUAGUAUCCUGAGUACCAUCGAGCACGUGAAACUUGGUGGGAAGUUAGGGGGACCACCCUCUAAGGCUAAAUACAUGUCUCAGACCGAUAGUGAACCAGUACCGUGAGGGAAAGGCGAAAAGAACCGCGGGAGCGGAGUGAAAUAGAACCUGAAACUGUAUGCAUACAAGCAGUUCGAGGGUUAUGCCGGGAGCUUCGGCAACCGGAAAGCCUGAGAGCGUGCCUAUUGAAGAAUGAUCCGGCGAGUUAAUUGGUAGGUGCAAGGAUAAGUGUUAAGUGAAAGCUUGUCACGUAUCCGUAGCGAAAGCAAGUUUGAAAGGGCGUUAGUACCUAUCAUUAGACCCGAAGCCAAGUGAUCUAUGCCUGGACAGAGUGAAUUCCCUUUAACCGGGGAAGGAGGCUCGAAGCGUCGACCGUUGAAAAGGUCUUGCAUGAGCUGGGUAUAGGGGUGAAAGGCCAAUCUAACUUGGUGAUAGCUGGUUCUCCUCGAAAUAGUUUUUGGACUAGCCUAGUACGUUAAGUCUGAGAGGUAGAGCACUAAAUAAUCUAGGGGGUGUAACCCACUUUCCGAAGUUAAUUAAACUCCGAAUUCUCAGAUGUAUUAUACUGGAGUCAGUUUGUGAGGGAUAAGCUUCACAUGCAAAAGGGAAACAGCCCAGACCACCAACUAAGGUCCCUAAAUAUAUACUAAGUGGUACAAGGAAGUGGAAUUUCUUAGACAGCUAGGAGGUUGGCUUAGAAGCAGCCACCCUUUAAAGAGUGCGUAACAGCUCACUAGUCAAGUGAUUCUGCACCGAAGACACCCGGGGCUCAAGUAUAUUACCGAAGUUGUGGAUUUUAUAGCAAUAUAAAGUGGUAGAGGAGCGUUCCCACGACACUGAAGAUGUACCGAAAGGAGCAUUGGAGUUGUGGGAAGUGAGAAUGUCGGAAUGAGUAGCGAUAAAAGAGGUGAAAAUCCUCUUCGCCGAAAACCUAAGGUUUCCUUGAGUAAAGUUCGUCUGCUCAGGGUCAGUCGAUCCUAAGCCGAGGGCGAAAGCCGUAGGCGAUGGGUAUCAGGUUAAUAUUCCUGAACUACCUUUAGUGGGUUAAUGUGUUUAGCUACGCUUUCCAGUAGAUCAUCAUCUCAUUGGUUGUAGAUGUUGCCUCGCAAGAGGGAGGAUUUGGAGCAAUCCGAAGAACUGAUCGUAUGGAGAGCCAAGAAAAACCUAAGCACUGCUUCUGAAGGUAAACGUACCGUAAACGGACACACGUAGGUGGGGUGAAAAUCCUAAGGCGCGCGAGAUAACUUUCGUUUAGGAACUCGGCAUAUUGGCCCCGUAACUUCGGGAUAAGGGGUGCCUAUAGCAAUAUAGGUCGCAGUGAAAUGGCCCUCGUGACUGUUUAACAAAAACAUAGGUCUCUGCUGAAAUCACAAGAUGAUGUAUAGGGACUGACACCUGCCCGGUGCUGGAAGGUCAAGGGGAGAUGUUAGCGCAAGCGAAGCAUUGAACUUAAGCCCCAGUAAACGGCGGCCGUAACUAUAACGGUCCUAAGGUAGCGAAAUUCCUUGUCGGGUAAGUUCCGACCUGCACGAAUGGUGUAACAAAGAGGGCACUGUCUCAACGAAAGACUCGGCGAAAUUGUGGUACCCGUGAAGACGCGGGUUGCCUGCGGCUAGACGAAAAGACCCCGUGGAGCUUUACUGUAUCUUAGCCUUGAAUUAUGGAGUUUAAUGCGUAGAAUAGGUGGGACGCUUCGAAGCUUGGCUUUUGGGCUAGGUGGAGCGGAAAUGUGAAAUACCACCCUUUGAGUUCUGUGGUUCUAACUCUCAGGUUUGAAACAACCGAGAGGACAUGGUUAGGUGGGCAGUUUAACUGGGGCGGUUGCCUCCUAAAUAGUAACGGAGGCGUACAAAGGUAUCCUCAGGACCAAUAGAAAUGGUCCAAAGAGUGCAAGUGCAGAAGGGUGCUUAACUGCAAGACCUACAAGUCGAGCAGAUGCGAAAGCAGGUACUAGUGAUCCGGCGGUUCAGUGUGGAAUUGCCGUCGCUCAACGGAUAAAAGCUACCCCGGGGAUAACAGGCUGAUACCAUCCAAGAGUCCAUAUCGACGAUGGUGUUUGGCACCUCGAUGUCGGCUCAUCUCAUCCUGGGGCUGGAGCAGGUCCCAAGGGUUUGGCUGUUCGCCAAUUAAAGAGGUACGUGAGCUGGGUUCAGUACGUCGUGAGACAGUACGGUCUCUAUCUACCGUGGGCGCAGGAAAUUUGAGGGGGCUCGUUCUUAGUACGAGAGGACCGGAAUGAACAUACCUCUGGUGUUUCUGUUGUUCUGCCAAGAGCAUUGCAGAGUAGCCAAGUAUGGUUAAGAUAAACACUGAAAGCAUAUAAGUGUGAAACUUGCCCCAAGAUAAGAUUUCCCCGAAGACCACCCGUAGACUACGGGUUUGAUAGGCAAGAAGUGUAAGUACAGUAAUGUAUUCAGCUAACUUGUACUAAUCGGUCGUUUGGCUUGGUC